rnacentral:rRNA from 1 species
GACGAAGGGGGCUAGCGUUGUUCGGAAUCACUGGGCGUAAAGCGCACGUAGGCGGAUCUUUAAGUCAGGGGUGAAAUCCCGAGGCUCAACCUCGGAACUGCCUUUGAUACUGGGGAUCUCGAGUCCGGGAGAGGUGAGUGGAACUGCGAGUGUAGAGGUGAAAUUCGUAGAUAUUCGCAAGAACACCAGUGGCGAAGGCGGCUCACUGGCCCGGUACUGACGCUGAGGUGCGAAAGCGUGGGGAGCAAACCGG